rnacentral:rRNA from 1 species
AGUAGGGAAUAUUGCACAAUGGGCGAAAGCCGUGAUGCAGCAACGCCGCGUGCGCGAUGAAGGCCUUCGGGUCGUAAAGCGCUUUUCGGGGAGAUGAGGAAGGACAGUAUCCCCGGAAUAAGGCUCGGCUAACUACGUGCCAGCAGCCGCGGUAAAACGUAGGAGCCAAGCGUUAUCCGAAUUCACUGGGCGUAAAGCGCGUGCAGGCGGCAUGAUAAGUUGGAUGUGAAAUCUCCUGGCUCAACUGGGAGGGGACGUUCAAUACUGUCAAGCUAGAGGACGGCAGAGGGAGGUGGAAUUCCCGGUGUAGUGGUGAAAUGCGUAGAUAUCGGGAGGAACACCAGUGGCGAAAGCGGCCUUCUGGGCCGAUCCUGACGCUCAGACGCGAAAGCUAGGGGAGCGAACGGGAUUAGAAACCCCGGUAGUCCUAGCCGUAAACGAUGUAGACUUGGCGUGGGUGGUGUAAAAACCAUCUGUGCCGAAGCCAACGCGAUAAGUCUACCGCCU